CGGCAGGGCCCACUACCCGAAGAUGGUGGCUCCGCCGUGUACCAACAGCUCGUGCCAUUGGGCGGCCCGGGCCACCCUCGCCCAAUGAGAAGGAGGGAUGUUGCUAAGUGGGCGGAGCCUGAGCUGUGCCCCCCGGGAGUGGGCCCGGAGAAAUCGAGCUCUGGGGGACAGAUGGGAGGUCGCCACAGCGCCUCCUGCAGGCCAGGAAGAUCGGGAGGCCUGUCCGUCCGCCGCCUGGGCUGCUCUGCAAGGAGGCCCAGAGGCCACACCUGGGGCUGCAGGAACUUGGGUAUGAAUAGCUACAGCCUUCAUCAGUAGGCAAAGGAGAAAGGGAAACCUACCAGGCACAGGGCACUGGGAGGACAGAUGGAGAAGAUGAGCCCAGCCCCAGGAGAAUAAUGCCUGUUUUUCACAGGCAUUGGUGACCAUGGCUGAGAAGAAGACACAGAAGAAAGUUGUCCCUCCAGGACCACAGGUAAACUGUCCCAAUUCUGGGGUGAGCUGCUGGGCCUGGGCCAGUCCAACCCUAUUUGUCAGGUCUUGCCUGGCACUUCUGUCUCACUGUGACAAGCCUGUGCACCCCACGCUACCCCAACAGAGCAGUGCAGGCUUACCCAACCUGCACCCAUGCCCUGUGCUAAGCCUGGGACCAGGCAUCUUAGAACUUUGAAUCCAAGGGUAAUCUGUAGAGGGAGUUACCCAACACUGGCUACUCCAAGAAGAGCUUCUGGAAGCCUGUCGCAAAGGACUUCAUUAAAGGCUUUUGUUUCUGGGCA